rnacentral:rRNA from 1 species
CCCUAUUAUAUUUAUUAAAUUUAAAUGCGAAGUAGUAAUUAUUAUAAAAUGAAACUUAAAGAAUUUGGCGGUACUUAUUCAAAUUAGAGGAAUAUGUUUUUAAAAUGAUAAUCCCCAAAUAUCUUACUUUAAUUUUAUUUUUGUAUAUCUCCGUCUAAAAAAAUUUUUUUAAAAUAUAUUUUAUUAAUCUUAAAAGAUAGAAGUCAGGUCAAGGUGCAGGUUAUAUUAAAGUAAAAAUGUAUUACAAUAAAAUUAUUUAUGGAAAUGAAUUGGAAUAUUCAUCUUAAAUUGGAUUUAAAAGUAAAUUUUUUUUAAUAAAAAUUAAUUGAAUAAAGUAAAUAAUUAUGUACACAUCGCCC